rnacentral:lncRNA from 1 species
AUUGAGGACUGCAUCCAGUUCUAAGAUGAGAUCGAGGAGCUUCUUCGAUGGGGCCACCUGGAUCAUUUCAUCUGUCAAAUAAGAGAAGGCCCUGCAAAACCACCAAGACCACCUCAAUGCAUGGAGCAACCUUGGUAGGAGCAGCCAGCAGAAAACUAAUCUAUAGCUGACGUGAUCAACACCAUCAUCAGGGGCACGGUGGGAUAGAGCCCAAAGAAUCUGCCAAAAGGCAAAAGUCGGAGGAAGCAAUUACUCUC